ensembl:snRNA U6 U6 spliceosomal RNA
GCUUGCUUCAGCACUAUGUCUAUUAAAUUGGAAAGAUACAGAGAUUACCCUGGCUCCUGUGCAAGGAUGACAUGAAAAUUCAUGACGCAUUCUAUACUUUA